AAAACGCGGGAGAAUAUAGCAUCUGGUAAAUAAUUUCGAGACUAUUUCCCCUAAAGCAGAUAGUUAAGAAACUAUUUCACGGCUAGCGUUAUCCAAAAGAAAUAGCAAAUUCAUUCACCUAACAUUUAUAUAGCAAAAACAUUCUGAGGUAUAAUAUAUACGUAUAUAUUGAAUUUGAAGCCCUUCACUGUUCUUGGAGACGUCUCCAGACAUAUGAGUAAAACAUUCUCGAGAGAGACGUUAAACAAGGUAAUUUUAUACAUCCAUUUAUGGAUAAUUCAGCAGGCCGUCUAUAUGACAGAUUCCACAGCUAUAAAGCAAAGAGAUAUCAGUAACGGUAUAUCCAUGGAAGACGUUAGAUCGCAAACAAACCCUAUAGCAGAUCAACGUAGAAAUAUUCUGUGUGGAAAUUCUGAUACCACAGGUGAUAUGGUGUUAUUGGAAGAACUCUCGUUAUGUCCGUGGACGACGAGAGUUGACGAAAAUCGCUAUCGCCAGCCAAUCAGAAUUACCCAAGCCGAAUGCGCCUUUGGGCGACCUACUGAGAUGCCCGGAUUAGUAUGUCGUCCAGUGUACAGAGACAUGACAGUCACGAUCCUAAACAGUAAAGUGAUAGAAAGAGUCGCUGUAGCUUGUACAGCAGUUCCAAUAUGUAUUUAGAUUUAUGUGUUUGAAACCAACACGACGUUCAUAAUGGGAUUACACGAUGUGUCUGCUGGGAACCAAAUAUAUGAAUGGGAGUGUAAACUAUUUCCAUCCCCCUAAAAUUAAAAUAUUGUCCAAUGCAAUAAUAUUAAAUUUACGAAACUAUCA